GCCGUCAUAGCUCAGUUGGUAGAGCGGCUGCCUUAUAAGUAGCAGGUCGAGAGCAGCAGAUCGAGAGCAGCAGAUCGAGGGUUCGAAUCCUUCUGGCGGUGACA
rnacentral:tRNA from 1 species